CCUACGGGAGGCAGCAGUGGGGAAUAUUGGGCAAUGGGCGCAAGCCUGACCCAGCAACGCCGCGUGAAGGAAGAAGGCUUUCGGGUUGUAAACUUCUUUUAAGGGGGAAGAGCAGAAGACGGUACCCCUUGAAUAAGCCACGGCUAACUACGUGCCAGCAGCCGCGGUAAUACGGAGGUGGCAAGCGUUGUCCGGAUUUACUGGGUGUAAAGGGCGUGCAGCCGGAGAGACAAGUCAGAUGUGAAAUCCACGGGCUCAACCCGUGAACUGCAUUUGAAACUGUUUCCCUUGAGUGUCGGAGAGGUAAUCGGAAUUCCUUGUGUAGCGGUGAAAUGCGUAGAUAUAAGGAAGAACACCAGUGGCGAAGGCGGAUUACUGGACGAUAACUGACGGUGAGGCGCGAAAGCGUGGGGAGCAAACAGGAUUAGAUACCCCUGUAGUC
rnacentral:rRNA from 1 species